AUUCAAGUAAAAGCUAGUGAAAACUAUUUCAAGCUUUAUAUUCAUAUUAUUCUUUAUUUUAACAUGUGACCUUUUACCUAUAACAAUUUCAUCGAAAUUGUCUCCAUCCAUGUAAUUCAUUAAAUUUUACAAAGGUAAACUGAAAUCUCUAGAGUUCUUGUUCAAUUCUUGAAACAAUAAAAAAAUUUAAGAAAAAAUGAUUUGUUUAUGUGGAUAUAUCUUUGACAGAUUUUAUAACAUAAUUUUUCCUUUGUGCAUUAAUUAUAAGUAUAUAAGUAUAUUUAUUUCUAUUAUAAGAGACUCAAAUUUAAUACUUUGCAAUUUUGUUCUUACUUAAAGAAUGUAAAAAAAAAAUCAUAUACAAAGAGAUAUGAAGCCAUAAUUGCACCAACCAAAGGUCACUCUUUUAUUGAACUCAGAUAAAAUCGCAAAACCUGGAAAGAGAAUAUCCCCAAAGCCAAUCAAGCCAUAGCCAUAAUAAGGAUUAGAAGAUUAGAUAGUUGAGAACUCUUAGAAGCUACAAAAAAUUUAAAAAAAGAACUGAGUCAUAUUUCAUCCCAUACAGUUUAAAGAAAAACAUAUAUAGUAAAACUAUUUAAGAAAUAAAAGCUUAUCGCAAAGAACAAACAGAAGGGAACAUAAACAAAAUCCCAGAAUAUUGGAUACCAAUACAAGGAAUACCAACCAAAAAAUCUCAAAAAUAAGGAAGAGAUAAUCAAAUCACAAAAUCAGAGAGAGGCGAUUUACCUCUGGCAGUAAUAGAAAUAAGAGAAACAGAAACUGAAGGGAAAAAUUAAAAUACUGAAGAGCAAAGGAAGAAUUUUACCUUGGGCGAGGGGAGGAAGAAGAGGAGAAGAAGAAGACCCUGUAAGGGAAGAGAAGAUUUGCGAUAAGGAUUAAGAGAAGAGCCAUUUAAGAGCAGUAAAAGAAGCAAUCGUUUCUUUUAUAGGGAAAAUAAGCGAAUGUUAAGUUUUCUUUAUUGAAAAACUUUUUU
rnacentral:lncRNA from 1 species